rnacentral:lncRNA from 1 species
AUUGGCUCCAGCAUAUGUCCAGGUAUAAGUGGCUGUGCCAGAAAGGAUUAGGAAAAUACAGAACUGGGCAAGUCCUUCAGGUGAUGUGGCUAGAGAUGCUUUCCUGUGCGAAAGUAGUUAUAAAACCACAUUGCUGACAUGAUCUGAGUUAAUAACAAAAGCCCUGAGACAAUAACCCGUAUUGUCAAAGAGCAUGUACAUCCUGAGAAGAGCAGCCACAGAACUGAAAUGGGCUUCCCUCGUUUUGUCCUCAGGUACUUUCUUUCCUGGGAAUCCCAUCUAGCCUGCAGCCAACAAGUGACCUAGACACAACACUGUGUUUGCUCUUAAAGAACAAAACCAGGAGCAAAAUAAUCCACUUUAAUUAUAGUUGUUUAUAAUCCUUAUUCAACCUCAUCCAUUUUUAUUUAUUUUUUUUUCACGCAAAAAACAGUAAGGACUCUUUGUCCAAAUGGGUACCUACCUGUGUGCCAUGGAGUGAUAGUUUUAUGUCAUGAUGAACUGUGUGCCAGUUUCUGUGAAGAUCUGCUGUUGGUAGGAUGGGUUAAGAAUGAGCGGCACAUUUAGUGUGUUGUACAAAUUUCUUCCAAGAUAAUAGAAGUGGUCUUUCCUGAUGGGCAAAUUUGGGCCAUUGUCCAAAAUGGUUUGCUUGCUAAACCUCACUUUCUUACCAGGUGCUGCCAGGAAGAUGUCAACAAAUGGAGAAGACUUCAGACUGGCAGUCAGAGACAAAGGCUGCUGUUAGAGACACGAGGGUUCGAUGGACCUUCACUUCCCAAAGGUGGCGAAGCAGCGUGGUGGCCCAUCCUCUGCCCAGAGAGCACGGUGACGUUUGCGUAACGUCCUACAGCUUCCGCUCAAGUGGGUUUCACAACCUCCCCGGGUAAUCUGUUCUGGCCCUGCCUUACUCAGAGACAGUUUUUUGCAACAUCUAGCCUUUUUCUUUCUUUUUUUUUUUUUUUUCCUUUCUUCUUUUCUUUCCUGAAAAUUAAGCCGAUUAGAUCUUAUCUUUGUCCUUCCAGCAAUGUAAAUCGCUGCCUUUCUUAAUAACAACAUCUCCUGCUCUGCAACCCUGUUAUCACGUCCUGCCCUACUCCCAGACUUCUCCUCUAGACUCAACAAAC